GGGGGAUUAGCUCAAAUGGUAGAGCGCGCGCUUUGCAUGUGCGAGGUAGCGGAAUCGAACCCGCAUCCUCCA
rnacentral:tRNA from 1 species